UACAACCAUAUCAUGUUGAAACAUAGGUUCCUGUAUGAUCACAGAUGUUAAGCAACAUCGAGCCUGGUCAGUAUCUCCAUGGGUGACCACAUGGGAAUACCGGGAUG